CAGAUGAUGUGGUUUCGUCCGUCGCUGUCAGGUUCUCACAGCAGUUGUUGUUCAGGGAGGAAACAUUGUGUGUCUGGGACAGGAGGCUGGAAAUUAACUUUUGGAGCAGGAAUCAAACUUACUGUUGAAGCCAGUGAAUCGUCUGAGCCGUCCUACUACAGGCUGAGUGGACAAGAUGAAAAAGGGAAAAACAUCUCGGCCUGCCUGGCCAGCGACUUCAGCGACUUCAACACCACUAGAGACAGUGUGCUGUUCAAUGGGACGGAGGCGACCCGGAUGGAGGGAGACCGUUUCUACAGCCAGGUGGCGCUGUACAAGCCAGAGGACGGGCAGGAUUGCCCGGAAACAUCUGGACCCGGCUGUGGCGGUGGACUCUUCAGCCCAGACGUGGGGGUGAACACCGUGUCCUUCAUCGUGCUCGGCCUCAGGCUCCUCCUCCUGAAGACCAUCGUCUUCAACGUCCUGAUGACCCUGCGGCUUUGGAUCAGUUAGAACGCAGCAGGACGCCGCAGCGUCGGGACGUCGGGACGUCCUGCAGCCUGUCGGACGCUCCCCGUGUGCCAGAGCCCGGCUCGGGCUUUAAAUCAUGAAUGAGUUUUCUAUUUGUUCUUUGUUUUUUUUUGAUCAUUUUAUCAUUUUAUCAUUGGAUCAUUUCCACUGCAGUGUCUCUGUCCUGUAAAUAUCCCGGCUCCAUGUCCCCGUCCCGUCCCUCAUGUGUCUCUC
rnacentral:lncRNA from 1 species